AAACAAAAGCAAAAUAAGUCCAAGUUGCGAUCCCCGUGUCAGUUUCGGCCCGAUGACUGCCUCGCUGGGCCCCUUUCUCGUCGGACGUGUGUUACCGAGUUUUCGGAAUGGGUUUCGGAACGCAGUGAACAGUGGCCAUUUGCCAAAACAGUGACGAAGUUGGCUUUAAUGAAAGCAAAGUUACCUGUGUACAGUUUCUCCUUUGUUAUAAUGUUAAUCUGAACCCCCGUUUAUAUCCAAUUCAGCCCGAUGUUGGACUUAAAUUUUUAUUUAUGUAGUUUUUACGCCGCAAUAGAUAAGUUCCUCCAGGGAAGCAUUUCGUGGAUACCGAAGAAAGCUUCAAACAAGUUUGAAGCUUUCGAGGCCGUAUUCAUGGAACUAUGAACCUGGACUCGUUGACUUUAACUUUGUCACAAAUAAGUUAUUUGGUUAUAAAUUUAACGAAAAAAAAUUAUACGGCCUCCGUCAAGGAGAUCUCGAAGUUGGUACGUGAAUACGGCUUCGAAGCAGAUAGACAUUACCUUCGUAGUCUCUUCUGUUAUUUUGAAGUAGGAGUCACAUACAAAGAGUCUCCUCAACUGCAGCUGUUGUCGGAAGAGUGUACUGCACUUCUGUCAAAGCCGGCGUUUGUCUCGAGCAUUUGUUUUGCAUUCGAGAAGUUGAUCGAAACUAAAGGACCAAAAACUACUCAACUUCUUCCACAGUUUAGCAAAGCAGUCAAAUUGAGCCCGAUUCAAGAAGUGGUGUUUGGAAUAGCACUGCUUUAUUCUCACAAUACGGAAGUGGCUAGCCAAGCUACUCAGUUCUUGAAAAUCAAAUUACCUGAGUUAAUUAGGUCAUAUAUAAAUUCAGAUUCGAACAAUUGUAGUGUUUCUGAGGGUGGUCUUAGUGAUACAUCGCCUGAAGUAUUGCAUAUCAUUCUCAGCGAAAUACACAAAUUAAAUUCAUUAGAAUUAUUUGGCCUCACUGCAGAAACAAAAGAGGCAUUUUUGCACAACUUGAGACGAGACUUUCCGCGAGAUCUUGUUCCUAUUGUUCUCGCACCGUUGUUGUAUUCUGACAAUUCAGAACUUUCUAUGGAAAAACUUCUCAACGAUUCAAACAACAUGUCUCACAAUAUGGUUGAUAGCAGUGUAGAUGAUGUUGUUGGGGAAUUAGGUUUGACGUUCACAAAUAGUGUAGAAGGAUGCAGGGGACACAUCGCUCAGCUAGCAGGAAGGGAAUUGAAAGCUUCGGAUAUGGCUCAUGUUCUUAUAAUGAUGCUCAAAUCACGAGCAGUCGAGUUCUGGCUAGAGAGCGAAGCGGCAAAAGAAAAGUCGAAUGACCCAUUGCACAUCCCUUCUCCUUGGAGUAUAGAUAACCUGAUUAAAGCUUCUAAAGAAUUGAAUCCAAAAUUGAAUUGGGCUGAUGUGUUUCUUGAACUGGAUCACCCAGAAUUUAUAGUCAAAAACAGGCACAGUUUGUAUUUAAUUAUUCAUUCGAUCAGAAGUGGGAUUCAGAGUCAACAGUCAUACAUUCCACAUAGUGAAAGGUUUCCAGUAGAUCAUAUUUACAGAACCUGGAAGAACCCACCAGCCCAGCUUUCUUUGCUGCAACAAAUUCUAAAAAAUCCGGAUAUCUUCUGUCUGGCGGAUUAUCCAUUCCACUCCAUCCCUGUCGAGAUUUUGAAAACUCCACCAGAAACAGAAAAUAAAGAAGUCACCAACUGGAGAUCCUUGAGUCUGCUUGAAACUGUUCUGAAUUUAGCAGAGAGAGGUGGCUUGUUCCCGGAUGUUCAGGAUCUGCUGAAAGUUCCUGCUCAAUUAUGCCCGGAUGUACUGGCGCUUGGACUACUGCAAGUCCCGCUUCAAAUGUCAAAUUUCCGUCUUGAAAUACUCGGAAGUAUUAUGCCGAUUUUUUUAGGAAACCAUCCUAACUCCGGCAUUAUUUUGCACCAAGCUUGGCACACAAGUCAAUUUUGUAUAAAACAAACGAUUAUGCAUGCAAUGGCAGACUGGUACUUACGAGGGGAUAGCGACCAGUCACGUCUAUCAAGGAUUUUAGAUGUAGCUCAAGAUCUCAAAGCACUAUCCUUGUUGUUGAACGCCCAGUCUUAUCCUUUUGUAAUUGACUUAGCCUGUCUUGCAUCAAGAAGAGGUUAUCUUAAAUUGGAAAAGUGGCUAACUGAUAAAAUAAGAGAACACGAUGAACCUUUUAUAACAGAACUAUUAAAGUUUUUGCAGAAACGAGUCCCUCAUAUUUCAGGAAUGGGAAAAGAAGAAAGCAUUUCCAAAUCACAGUUACCCCAUGAAACUUUAAGUACAAUUAUUCUCAGCUUGCAGACUUGUGUUGGAAAUGUUUCACAAGACUUGUCUGAAGCAAUACAUAAUGCAGUUGCUACUUGCGGUGUAGUUGUAAACAAAUCUCGUCAAGCCCCACCUGGAGUCUUGCGUCCCCACAGGGGCCUUGAACCUUUUUCUCAGUCAUCUGUUUAUUCUAGUCAAGUCGACUCUCUCAAUAGUGGUCUGGCUGGAAUGUCACUAGCGACUACAUCGACUGCUUUCACUCUUCCCGCAGCUUUAGGACAACUUGUUUCAAAUCCCGGUUCGCCUUCUCGGCUGAUGGCAGCCUCUCAGUCACCUGCCUUUCCGAUAAUGCCACUUGGAGCACCUGGCCCAUCUUUAGUGCCCCAAGUGGGAGUUAAUGUGCCAGCAACUAUGGCACGUCUUCAACUUGCCCAACAGCAACAACCUUUAGAAAAAACGAAAAUUUCUAAUGUAUCAACUAACUUGUUUCGUGAUAUGACUUUCCCAGUUCCAAAAGAUAUAGAGGAUGAGGCAAAUAGUUACUUUCAAAGGAUUUACAAUCAUCCGCCACAUCCUACAAUAUCAAUUGAUGACGUUCUUGAUAUGCUCAAAAAAUUUAUGGACUCGCCAAAACAACGUGAAAGAGAUGUUUUUUACUGUAUGCUUCGGAAUCUUUUUGAAGAAUAUAAAUUUUUCCCUCAAUACCCUGACAAAGAACUUUUUGUUACUGCCCAGCUUUUUGGAGGGAUUAUUGAAAGAGGGCUUGUCUCAGAUUACAGAGAACUUGGUAUGGCUCUUCGAUAUGUCUUGGAUGCCUUGAAAAAACCUCUAGACAGUAAAAUGUUCUAUUUUGGAAUUGCGGCUCUAGAUAGAUUUAAAUCUAGAUUAAAAGAUUAUCACAAUUACUGCGAAUAUAUAAUGAGCAUACCACAUUUUUCUCGUUUCCCUUCACAUUUAAUAGAGUACUUGGAAUACGGCCUACAAUCCGAAGAACCGCCAAAUCGUCCACAAGGACCAAUUCUACCAGGUGGAACGUCUGUUGUGACCACUGCUUACAACACAUUAGCCCAGACAACAGUAACGACAACUACGACUGUCGCUACAAAAGUGAGCACAACAUCUGUCAUUUCAUCACGGCCUUCUAUUGCAAAUGCCACGAACAUAGAUACACUCUUGGUAGCUACAGAGAAAGAAGACAAAAUGGUAACACCUCCUGAAUCAUUGCAAGAUAAAGUUGCAUUUAUAUUUAAUAAUCUCAGUCAGUUAAACUUGCAAACCAAGUGUGACGAAUUGAGAGAAAUAGUGAGCGAGGAAUAUUACGCAUGGAUGGCACAAUAUUUGGUUAUGAAGAGAGCUAGUAUUGAAUUGAAUUUUCACAUCCUCUACUCUAAUUUUCUUGAUGUACUUAAAAUACCAGAGUUAAAUGUAUUAGUUCUACAAGAGACAUUUAGAAAUAUACGGGUUUUGUUGAGAUCAGAUAAAGGCACUGCUAAUUUUUCGGAUCGGUCAUUGCUGAAAAAUUUGGGACACUGGCUUGGGAUGUUGACUCUUGGGAGGAAUAAACCUAUUCUUCACGAUGAUUUAGACCUAAAAUCUCUUCUUGUUGAAGCAUACAGCAAAGGGCAGCAAGAAUUGUUGUAUGUUGUCCCAUUUGUUGCAAAAGUCCUUGAAUCUUGUUCUAAAAGUCAAGUCUUUAAACCUCCAAAUCCUUGGACUAUGGCAAUAAUGAAUGUGUUAGCUGAACUUCAUCAAGAAGCAGACCUAAAACUUAACUUAAAAUUUGAAAUUGAAGUUUUGUGUAAAAAUUUGUCAUUGGAUGUUUCGGAACUACACCCAAAAAUUUAUUUGAAAGAUCCAGAAAAUUUGAAAAAUCUUGAACAUCAACUUUCACCUCCCAAAUCAAAAGUGGAAGUGCAGAGCACCACACCAUUGCCCCCGUCUCAAACUCCCACUCAGCAGGCUACUCACAACGUUUUGUCUUCAGCAAAUGAAGAGACUCCAACCAGGCUUGCAAACAAUACACCAACGUUGACUCCGAUCAAUCCACCGGAACCAAGGUUUAAUUAUUUAUCUAUCAAUGUCACAAACAUCGGCAAUUUGGCUCCACAUAUUAUAAUUAAUACACAGAUGCCACUGCUUCAAUCUCACCCACAGUUGAAACAAUACAUUAGACCUGCUCUUGAGCGAGCUGUCCAAGAGUGGAUUCAUCCUGUCGUUGACCGAGCGGUUAAAAUUGCAGUAACUACGACAGAGCAGAUUGUUAAAAAAGAUUUUGCCCUAGAGCCAGAAGAAUCCAGAAUGAGAGCUGCCGCACAUCACAUGGUCAGAAAUUUAGCAGCAGGAAUGGCUAUGAUAACAUGCCGCGACCAACUUCUGGUUUCUAUUAGUAACAAUCUUAAAGCAAAUUUUCUAAGUGCUCUCCAUAAUGCAACCGAACAACAAAAAAGUCUAAUAGAACAGGCUGCCUCUUUGUUUGCACAAGAAAAUAUGGAAUUAGCUUGCUGCUUCAUCCAGAAGACUGCAAUGGAAAAGGCUGUCCCUGAGAUGGAUAAACUUCUUUUACCUGAAUAUGAACGGCGAAAAAUAGCUAGAACUGAAGGUAGAAGGUACUGUGAUUCAAGUGUUCUUACAUAUCAAGCUGAACGUAUGCCAGAACACCUGCGGCUCAAAGUGGGUGGUGUAACACCUCAGCAGACUGCUGUUUAUGAGGACUUGGCUAGGAACAUUCCUGGAUUCCAACCGUUAACAGAGAGAGACACUGCGAUAUUUAUCCCCAAGCCAGUUGAUUCUAUGACGAUCGUGCCUUCUUUUCCCAGUGCAAUUCCUCAAAUGGCCUACAGUACUGGGGGAGAUGAACUGGACAGCAUUUUUGAUAAACUGACUACCGAAUUGGACCAUUAUGUUCAAACUGUUCUUGGAAACCACACAUUACCUGCUGUGCACAACAUCUUAGAUCUACUUGUUCUGACUAGGAGAAACCGAGAAGAUCUGUACGCAAUGAGUCUUGUGCAGAAGACUGUUGAAAAUUUGUUGGAACUGUCUACCACAUCUCUUGACUCAGAGUUCAUUCUUAGACAUAGAGAGUUGUACCUAAGAAUUCUUAAAACUUUACAAGAUCCUCGAGCUUACGGAGUCCAGUGGACUAAUAAGCAAGUCACUAGGGCUUACCUAGAUUGUCGUGAGGAAAUAAAAUACAAUUUAGACUGUCUAGAUGUACUUCUGAGGAACCAAUUCAUUAAUCUGCUCCAGUUGGAUUUACAUCUUGCACACGCGAUGGAUAAUGGACAGAAUUACGUAGCGAUCAAUUUUGCUGUCCAAGUUAUUCAGUUCUACCUUGUUGAUGACAGAAACAGCUUAUCAUUUGUGACAGACCAAGAUUUUUUUAACACUAGUGAAGUUCUUGUCAGAAUUGCUACGCAUUCUCGUCAACCUCCAGAAGGCCUUGUUGCGCUUAUUGAACUACUAAGAGCAACUCACGAUCCAGCUCUCAUUGUUGACAGUAGGACUCAUGCAAGUGCACAUAUUCUCUCAGGCCUUACUCAAGGAAAAGCAAGGGAUUAUGACGAUCCUCCUGGAUUGGCCGAAAAGACAGAAUUUCUUUUAAGGGAAUGGGUCUCGAUUUACAAUUCAGCAGCAGGUGCAAAAGACCCUAACAAAUCAUUUUCCAUUUUUGUCUCUCAGAUGAAUUAUCAUGGAAUUCUUAAAACUGAUGACUUAAUCACACGAUUCUUCAGAUUGAGUACUCAGAUGGUAGUCGAACUUUGUUAUAGAUUCCUUCCCGACGUAUCGGGUGCUUCUGCGACAUCUUCACGAAACAAAAUGUUCCACACUGUCGACGCGUACGUCAAAUUGAUUUCUUUGCUUGUCAAACAUUCUGGCGAUGCUACCAACACGGCCACAAAAGUCAAUUUGUUGAACAAAGUUCUCGGCAUUAUUGCUGGAGUUCUUCAACAGGAUCAUGAAACACAUCAGACGGAAUUUCAACAGUUGCCCUAUCAGAGAAUUUUCAUCAUGCUCUUCCUUGAAUUAAACGCUCAUGAAUCUAUUCUUGAAGCCAUUAACUUCCAGGUGUUGACUGCUUAUUUUCAUACAUUACACAUCCUCCGUCCUGCUAAAUCACCAGGCUUUGCUUAUGCCUGGCUCGAACUCGUCUCUCACCGACUAUUUCUCGGGAGAAUGUUGAGCCCGACUCCUUCUCAAAAGUCAAACGUUCAAUCUUGUCCCCAGGGGUGGAUCAUGUACGCUCAACUUCUGGUCGACCUGUUCAAAUACUUGGCACCAUUCCUGAGGAAUGCCGAAUUGGCCAAGCCCGUCACAGUACUUUACAAGGGUACUCUCAGAGUACUUUUGGUAUUAUUGCAUGAUUUCCCGGAAUUUCUGUGCGAUUACCACUACGGCUUUUGUGAUGCCAUUCCUCCAAACUGCAUUCAGAUGAGGAAUCUGAUCUUAUCAGCGUUUCCAAGAAAUAUGAGGCUUCCUGAUCCUUUUACUCCUAACCUUAAAGUCGAUAUGUUGGCUGAAAUUUCAAGUGCUCCAAGAGUAUUGACAGAAUUCGCUUUUGUUAUUCAGCCAACUUCAUUCAAAAAGGAUCUAGACCAUUAUUUGAAAGCAAGAACUCCAGUCACCUUUUUGUCAGAUUUGAGAAGCAAUUUGCAAGUUUCUAAUGAACCUGGAUUACGUUAUAAUAUUCCACUUAUGAAUGCUCUAGUUCUUUAUGUUGGCACUGAAGCUAUUGCUCAUAUCAGGAAAAAGGGUCUUGCACCUAAUAUGACAACAAUUGCUCAUUCCGCUCACAUGGACAUCUUCCAGAAUUUAGCUGUCGAUCUUGAUACUGAAGGGCGGUACUUGUUCUUGAAUGGCAUCGCUAACCAACUUCGAUAUCCCAACAGUCAUACACAUUACUUCAGCUGCACAUUACUUUACUUAUUCGCUGAAGCAAAUACAGAAGCUAUACAAGAACAGAUAACAAGAGUAUUAUUGGAGCGUUUGAUUGUAAACAGACCUCACCCAUGGGGCCUCUUAAUCACAUUUAUUGAACUGAUCAAGAAUCCGACAUACAAGUUUUGGACACACGAAUUUGUCCAUUGUGCUCCUGAGAUCGAAAAGUUGUUCGAGUCUGUGGCUAGAUCUUGUAUGGUCCAAAAACAUGUCCAAACACCAGCUGAAAACAAUAUACCGGAAAUGAAACAGUUCUAAUGCAGCACAAAAAUGUCCAUUUUUCAACACCAACAGUUUUGAAAUAAAUAAAUUAAUAUGUGAAGUAAUGAUGAUUAUUUAAUAUGAAUCAGAAACUCGGUACUCUGGCGUAUGCAUAUGUUCUGCCGAUAACUAUGUGAAUGAAACAACAGAAUAACAAAGUACUCAUGGAAAUUAUAAAGCAUUUAAUGACAUGACAAGAAAAUACCAGCAGCACAUAAUGCAAGAGAGUAUAAAACAGUUUCAACACGACUUUCUC
rnacentral:misc_RNA from 1 species